AAUAACUAGCAUGCAAUAGCGACCAAUUUUUUCGUCGCUAACAAAAAUAUCCCAUUUAAUAAUUAAUUUUAAAGCGUUAUUAUAACGACCAGUCUUCCUGUCGCUAAAAAUAAAAUUAUAUUAUGAUUUCAUAAUUCAAUAUGCUAUUUAUUUAAAUUCUACAUGAUCUUCUUUCACAUUCACAAAUAUGUAUAAAACCAAAGCUUC
rnacentral:lncRNA from 1 species